rnacentral:rRNA from 1 species
UACGUAGGGGGCAAGCGUUGUCCGGAUUUAUUGGGCGUAAAGAGCGUGUAGGCGGCUUUGCAAGUCCGUUGUGAAAACUCGAGGCUCAACCUCGAGACGUCGGUGGAAACCAUCUGGCUAGAGUCCGGAAGAGGAGAGUGGAAUUCCUGGUGUAGCGGUGAAAUGCGCAGAUAUCAGGAAGAACACCCGUGGCGAAGGCGGCUCUCUGGGACGGUACUGACGCUGAGACGCGAAAGCGUGGGGAGCGAACAGG